CGAGCGCGUGUCAAAGCUCGUAGUCGAUAUUCUAAGUAUCCUUUGUACGGUCCAACUGGACAAAGAAUACUUAUCAGCUCGAAAACUUUACCGGCCUUCACUGGUUCGAUAUUGCAGAUCGGGCAUUUUACUGAGAAGAAAUUAGAGUGUUCAAAGCAGGCUAUUGUCUUGAAUACACAAGCUUGGAAUAAUAGAAUAAGACUAAUAUCUUUUUUUGUUGUUAUAAGAUUUAGUAAUGGUUAAUAGAAACAGUUGGGGGCAUUAGUAUUUAAUUGUCAGAGGUGAAAUUCUUGGAUUUAUUAAAGACUAACUUAUGCGAAAGCUUUU
rnacentral:rRNA from 1 species